GAUUGUAAAUUAUAUACUUUAUUUACAUCUACAUCUUAAUUUGAUAUAAUAAAAUAAUAAUAUAAUAAUAUACAUGAAGCUAGAUGAUAGAUAUCGCAUAGACCACACAAUCACCACCCAUAUUCACCACAAAAAACUCCAUCACGGUUUAUCUUCUCCGACAAUUUUAUUGAACGCCACACAUUACACACAACAUCCAUAAUCAAAACUCCUUAUUCGUCACUAUCUAACACACACACACAACACACAGUCGGAGACGGUGGCUGUUCCACCGGUAAACAGCAACGGCGGUGGUCACUGUCACUCCCGUAAGCAUCAACGGUGGUGGCUACUUUUACUCCGAUCAAUAGUAGCGAUGGUGAUUUUAUCCCAUAAGCAACAAUGGUACGUAGUGAUGCCGUGAUGGCAACAUGUGGAGAAGACGUUUUAUAUUGAUGAAGAUCAAGAUGAAAUACAUCAACAAUGGAGAAGUUUGAUUUUUUAAUCAAGAUGAAGAUGAGAGGUAGCAUCCAUGUGGAAGAAUAUGUUACGGCUGCAAGAAAGGAAAAUUUAUCUUUUACUAAAAAAACUCUUUGGCAAGAUGCUGAAGAGGUAGGAGAGGUUAUAUCGGAAUAGAUGGACUAACCUGCCACGCAGGCCACGAUAUACUAAACUUAUUACAACGAGACGAUAACCAUAAAAAAGAAAUAAAAAUAGUAGAAUUAAAAAUUGCGAAGCUCGUGUCAUGAUCCUGUUCAAAUGCCGCCUUGUUCCUAUUCUUCCAUAAUAACCACCACCAACACGAUAGAAUGCCAAGGAUGAGCUGCUUGUAGGAUGAUGGGCCUUGUAUGCUUUGAACCCAGUCACGCAAAUCAAAUGGAUUGUUUUCUGGGAUUAGGAGCUGUAACCAACGAGAGAGAUAAUUAUUUUGCAAAAAGGUUGCCCCUUAUUAUUAUUUCUUAUUUUGCAAAAAGACAAGGGAUGCUGGUUUAUUUUGAAUAUAGUCUCUUAUUUAUUUUAUUUUUA